rnacentral:lncRNA from 1 species
CUUGAAAUUAAGGAUACUACUGAUACAAGGAGGACUACGUCAUACCAUGAUCUCUUCCUUAAUAUUGACACAGAUGAACGACUUAACAAUAAAAUCUAUGAUAUAGGGGCGAAAGAUACAAGAGAGACAGUCAAACUAAUAGAUCGAAAAUAGACUGACAACGCCACGGCUAACAAAUAAAAAGACAAACAGACAAAUAAUAGCA